rnacentral:rRNA from 1 species
UACGGGGGGAGCAAGCGUUGUUCGGAUUUACUGGGCGUAAAGGGCGCGUAGGCGGCCAGCACAAGUCAGUUGUGAAAUCUCCGAGCUUAACUCGGAAAGGUCAACUGAUACUGUGCGGCUAGAGUGCGGAAGGGGCAACUGGAAUUCCUGGUGUAGCGGUGAAAUGCGCAGAUAUCAGGAGGAACACCGAUGGCGAAAGCGGCUCUCUGGAACGGUACUGACGCUGAGACGCGAAAGCGUGGGGAGCGAACAGG